rnacentral:rRNA from 1 species
GACGAACGCUGGCGGCGUGCCUAACACAUGCAAGUCGAACGGACAUUUUUUGGAAAGCUCUUCGGAACUGGAAUCUAAAUGUUAGUGGCGGACGGGUGAGUAACGCGUGAGCAAUCUGCCUUUCAGAGGGGGAUAACAGCCGGAAACGGCUGCUAAUACCGCAUAAUGCAUUGGAUUCGCAUGGCAGAGAGAAGAAAGGGAGGCUCUUCGGAGCUUUCGCUGAAGGAGGGGCUUGCGUCUGAUUAGCUAGUUGGAGGGGUAACGGCCCACCAAGGCGACGAUCAGUAGCCGGUCUGAGAGGAUGAACGGCCACAUUGGGACUGAGACACGGCCCAG